rnacentral:tRNA from 1 species
UCCCUGGUGGUCCAGUGGUUAGGACUCUGCACUUUCACUGCAGAGGGCAUGAGUUUGAUCCCUGGUCUGGGAA